AGAAGGAAAGAAGGAGGGCUUAAAGCUUCGAGGAGAGCUCUUCGUCAGAAACAUAGGAAAAGGAAAGAUCCAAAGAAGGGAAGACGGAGGGAAAAAAUAGCCAACGGUACACUCGCGGUGAAUUUGAUUAACCCAUGGUUGAUUUAAGUUUAGCUUUCUCCUCCCCAUUCUUAUAAACUCCAAGUUGUUAUUUAACUCGCUUUGUGAACGGGUGUGAACCAAACCACACGUGCAUGUACUUACAUCGUGGAUGCUUGUAAGAGCGAGUGCACAUGCGCCAUGCAGCCUACGUGAGGGCGCUUAUACAUCCAUAUCCGCAAACGUUCAUUUUGAAUACUUUUCUCGCAGUAUUGCGCGUUCGUUUCUUUUUUGCAUCUGAUACUUUAUUUUUUAUCUUCCACAUAAAUGAAGAUAUAUCCUUUAUUUGGCUGCUUUACUUUACACGAAAUGAGAAUGUACUUUAUGGAACUGUCAUUUAGCGAGUUAUAUCUAUUUAUUCCCCGAAGAAACACAUCUGCCCCGACGGAUACUCCUGAAUCAGUUCUUUCGGCGAAGAAGCAGAACCAAGAUUAAAACUCUCAUCUACAUAAUUGUAUCUUCAAUGAUGUCUAUGAUAACAACAUAAACAGCCAACGUAAACAACAUCGAUAUAAAGAAGGUAAGCAAUGAGGAACAAACAACAGCAACGAUAUAUAAACAACAGCAGGCAACAAAAACGAAAAUUAAAGCAAACACUCUACCACGAGCAGUAAGUAAACCA